UUAAGAUUUGUCAAAACACGAUUUUGAGGUUAUGCUAAGUUUAUAUCAAAUAAGUUUGUAGAUAUGAAGUGAUUUAGAUAAGUAAAUAAAACAUAACUUAAGUAACAUUCAAGAACGAAUAUUAAAAAAAAAAAAAAUAAAUAAAUUAGCGCCAUCUAGGGACAAUCCUCCGUAUUAAUAGUAUUUUGACAUUUCAAAACCACCGUUUGUAUUCCUUCUUAAAAUCAUCGAAUUUUACAAAAAAUAAGUUUAAUUGCACCAAAUAACCCAUCAAAACACAUUUUUGAACGCGCAUAGUACCUAUUCAAAGUGAUUUUAGGUCCCACGAAAAGAUUUUUGUUCCACAAAUGUAUCAAAGAAGUUUUUAUUGAAACAUAACCUCACUUUUUUUAAAUUGGAAUUUGGGGUUAUUCAUCAAAAUAAAGUUGAAAAAACUUGGAAUUUAUUAAUUUAUUAAUAAGAUGUUCAUGUUACAUCUCAAUUGAAUCAUCUUUACGCCGGGAUUUAGUAAGAUAAGUCCCACGAAAAGAUUUUUACUCCACAAAUGUAUCAAAGAAGUUUUUAUCGAAACAUAACCCCACUUUUUUUUUAUUGGGAAUUUGGGGCGAUUCAUCAAGAUAAAGUUGUAAGUUCAUUAAUUAUACUAUUUAUGAAUUUGUUGGGUAAAACUUUUACUAUUUCUACGUAUUUUUAUUAUCAAUUUUAUUCAUUUACUUUUUUAGGAAAAAAUUUGGAGUUGAUAAAUGCAAAAUUGGUUUGUAUCGGAUAUUUUCUUCAUGUUACAUCUCAAUUGGAUCAUAUUUACACCGGGAUUUAGUAAAAUAAG